CCUACGGGUGACAGCAGUGAGGAAUAUUGGUCAAUGGGCGGAAGCCUGAACCAGCCAAGUAGCGUGCAGGAUGACGGCCCUACGGGUUGUCAACUGCUUUUAUACGGGAAUAACGCGCCUUACGUGUAGGGCUUUGCAUGGACCGUAUGAAUAAGGACCGGCUAAGUCCGUGCCAGCAGCCGCGGUAAUACGGAAGGUCCGGGCGUUAUCCGGAUUUAUUGGGUUUAAAGGGGGCGUAGGCCGCAUGUCAAGCGUGCUGUGAAAUGUCCGGGCUCAACCCGGGCCUUGCAGCGCGAAAUGGCGUGCUUGAGUGCGCGGAAAGCAGGCGGAA
rnacentral:rRNA from 1 species